UAAGGGAAAGAAGGGACAAAGACCAAAGAUGUUCACAUUGAAGAAGUCCCUGUUCCUGGUUUUCUUUCUGGGGAUGGUCUCCUUAUCUCUCUGCAGGCAUGAGAGCCACGCCGAUAAAGAGACCAGCAAU